rnacentral:ncRNA from 1 species
AUAGGGUACAGCCAGGGAAACCUGGUGUCACAAAGCUAUGGGGCUAAGGGAGUUUUCCUAUGUCAGCCAGCUGCCG